GGGCCCGCACAAGCGGAGGAACAUGUGGUUUAAUUCGAUGAUACGCGAGGAACCUUACCCGGGCUUGAAUUGCAGAGGAAUGAUUUGGAAACAUGUCAGCCAGUAAUGGUCUCUGUGAAGGUGCUGCAUGGUUGUCGUCAGCUCGUGCCGUGAGGUGUCGGCUUAAGUGCCAUAACGAGCGCAACCCUCAUAUUCAGUUACUAACAGGUAAAGCUGAGGACUCUGGAUAGACUGCCGUCGUAAGAUGCGAGGAAGGUGGGGAUGACGUCAAAUCAGCACGGCCCUUACGUCCGGGGCGACACACGUGUUACAAUGGGGGGUACAGAAGGUUGCUACACAGUGAUGUGAUGCUAAUCCCGAAAGCCUCUCUCAGUUCGGAUCGAAGUCUGCAACCCGACUUCGUGAAGCUGGAUUCGCUAGUAAUCGCGCAUCAGCCAUGGCGCGGUGAAUACGUUCCCGGGCCUU
rnacentral:rRNA from 1 species